CUACGGGUUGCACCAGUGAGGAAUAUUGCACAAUGGGGGGAACCCUGAUGCAGCAACGCCGCGUGGAGGAUGACGCAUUUCGGUGUGUAAACUCCUUUUAUAUGUCAAGAAAAUGACGGUAGCAUAUGAAUAAGCACCGGCUAACUCCGUGCCAGCAGCCGCGGUAAUACGGAGGGUGCAAGCGUUACUCGGAAUCACUGGGCGUAAAGGACGCGUAGGCGGGUUGGAAAGUCAGGUGUGAAAUUCUACAGCUUAACUGUAGAACUGCACCUGAAACUUCUAAUCUAGAGUAUGGGAGGGGGAGAUGGAAUUAGUGGUGUAGGGGUAAAAUCCGUAGAUAUCACUAGGAAUACCUAAAGCGAAGGCGAUCUCCUGGAACAUUACUGACGCUAAGGCGUGAAAGCGUGGGGAGCAAACAGGAUUAGAUACCCUUGUAGUC
rnacentral:rRNA from 1 species